UAGGGAAUUUUGCGCAAUGGGCGAAAGCCUGACGCAGCAACACCGCGUGAAUGUUAAGCCCUUCGGGGUGUAAAGUUCUGUCAGUGGGGAAGAAUAAAUGACUGUACCCACAAAGGAAGCACCGGCUAACUCCGUGCCAGCAGCCGCGGUAAUACGGGGGGUGCAAGCGUUGUCCGGAAUCAUUGGGCGUAAAGCGUUCGUAGGCGGUAAGAUAAGUCAGAUGUUAAAGCCCGGGGCUCAACUCCGGUUCGGCAUUUGAUACUGUCUAACUUGAAUGUGGUAGAGGUAAAGGGAAUUCCUGGUGUAGCGGUGAAAUGCGUAGAUAUCAGGAGGAACAUCGGUGGCGAAAGCGCUUUACUGGGCCAUUAUUGACGCUGAGGAACGAAAGCCGGGGGAGCAAAUGGG
rnacentral:rRNA from 1 species